rnacentral:rRNA from 1 species
GACGUAGGGCGCGAGCGUUGUCCGGAUUUAUUGGGCGUAAAGAGCUCGUAGGCGGCUUGUCGCGUCGAAUGUGAAAACCCGAGGCUCAACUUCGGGCUUGCAUUCGAUACGGGCAGGCUGGAGUUCGGUAGGGGAGACUGGAAUUCCUGGUGUAGCGGUGAAAUGCGCAGAUAUCAGGAGGAACACCGGUGGCGAAGGCGGAUCUCUGGGCCGAUACUGACGCUGAGGACGAAAGCGUGGGGAGCAACAGG